rnacentral:rRNA from 1 species
ACGGGAGGCAGCAGUGGGGAAUAUUGGGCAAUGGGCGCAAGCCUGACCCAGCAAUGCCGCGUGAAGGAAGAAGGCUUUCGGGUUGUAAACUUCUUUUAAGUGGGACGAUAAUGACGGUACCACUUGAAUAAGCUCCGGCUAACUACGUGCCAGCAGCCGCGGUAAUACGUAGGGAGCAAGCGUUAUCCGGAUUUACUGGGUGUAAAGGGCGUGUAGGCGGGACAUCAAGUCAGAUGUGAAAGCACGAGGCUCAACUUCGUGUCUGCAUUUGAAACUGUAGAACUAGAGUGUCGGAGGGGUAGGUGGAAUUCCUAGUGUAGCGGUGAAAUGCGUAGAUAUUAGGAGGAACACCAGUGGCGAAGGCGGCUUACUGGACGAUUACUGACGCUGAGGCUCGAAAGCGUGGGGAGCAAACAGGAUUAGAUACCCUGGUA